CGACCGCCGUCUCAGCCGCCUCAGCCGCGGUCGCCGCCGCCUCGGCCGACUUACGCUCCGCCGCCGCCUUCUCACCCGCCUCGCCCGCCUCGUCCCGACCCCGCCCCGAUCCCGCCAGGGCCUCCCGGCCUCUCCCCGCCGGCCCGCGGGCUCGCCGUCCGGCGCAGGGCAGGUCGGUGGGCUCCACGACAAAAGUCAACCCUUCUGUAAAUCACCUGCUGUGGUUAUGAUGCUCUGAGUUCAAUACGUCUGCACCUUUGCUGUCUAUGGAUCUGCUCUAACCUUAUAGCCUGCUUAUGGGGGAAGGUGAGUUGCUGUCUGUUGUUGGCAUGUUUGUUUACCAAGAGUAUGUAACGA
rnacentral:lncRNA from 1 species